AACAAACAAACAAACAAGAACAAAAGAGAAAAGGGGCAAGGGAGGAGGCAGACAGUAAAAUAAAAUAGUCAUUAAGUCACAGAACAGGGUAGCUUACAAAUCAGGUAACUGAUGAUAUGCAUCUACUAGGUAUUUCAAAUAAUUUUCAUUAAAAUAUUCUUAAGCUUACAUAAGGAACAUUUGAAAAAUAGUGUAAUACUCAAUGUACUUAAUUCCUUAAACACUUGAGCCUCAAAUUUUUUGUUAAAAACAAGUAUGGCAUUAUAUUAUAUUGUCUGAAUGUCAGGUUACAGCUGAAGUACAAAUUUACGGAAAGACAUAUGACUGACUCAAGGAAUGUUUACAUUUUAAAGGUUUUCAAUAUUCAUUGCUAACCUAUUUUCUACAGUCUGUCUUAAUUACAGCAGUCACUUCAGUGCCCCCCUCACAAACACUAACUAUUCUCCCACUUAAAAAAAAAAAAUCCUUCAUGAGCUAGGUACUAUUGUUCCUAUUUUACAGAUGAGAAAACUGAGACACACAGAGACUGAUGUCCUAAGACACACAGCUAGCAAAUCAGGUAGCUGACAUAAAAACUUACAUAGUAGGAUUUCCAGGGCUUACAUUCUCAAUCACCAAAAACUAAUAGAAGACUUUUACAUGGCAGUUUGUUAUAAAAUAACUACACAAAGUAUUCCAUAGGUCAGUAAAAACCAAUCUGAAAAAUGCAAUGAAAAUGGCAACUGCAAAACCCUAUUAAAACGCAUAAAGAACAAGAUUAAAGGGAGAAAUAUCCUUCCGAAAAACCAUCUAUAUUGAUAUUAAUGUGCAACAAUCAAAAACCAUUUUUUUAAAACAAAGGAUGUCAAAGAUUCUUACCCAAGAUGUUAAAGUGGUCUACAAAGCUAUGGCAAUUCAAUUAUGUUGUAGUUCUGACACAGGAUCAGUAUGGUAAACAGAACAAGAUCUUAGAAACAGGCCCAAGAAUGUAUGAGACACUAGCACAUAUAAUAAAGGGAUAUUUUAAUUAGCCAUAAAUUAAUGAUCUAACCCAGGGGUGGGCAAAUUAUUUCCUGCAGGACAAAUCCAGCACACUGCCUGUUUUUGUAAGAUACAUGAACUAAGAAAGUUUUUACAUUACAGAUGGUUAUAUAAAGGCCUAUUAUACAAAAUAGGUUUUGAUUUUAUAUAUAUCCUUGAUUUUGCUUCUUGGUCCACAAAGCCUAAAAUAGUUACUAUCUGGUUCUUUAAGGGAAAGUUUUCUGACCCGUGAUUUAAAGCAUAAAUGGUGUCGGUGCAAUUGGAUAAGCUUGUAGAAAAAAAAAGUAUUUGGAACCCUACAAUUCACAGGUUAAACCAAAACACAUUUCUAAUGGACAUAAAUUAUAUGUGAAGAACAAAACAUAAAAGUAUUAUAAGAAAGUAAUUGGGAAAUGUCUUCCUAAGUAUGAUCUCGAAAACAGAAGCCAUUUAAAAAUAAGACUGAUGGAUCACAUUUAAUUAAAAUGACAAAUAUACGUAUACUACAUAUACCAAGAAUUAAAGGUGAAAAACUGGGAAAAUAUUUGUAAUGAAUGACAAGAGGUUGUUAUCCUCAAUACAUGGAGAAUGCAAACUAGUAAGACUUAAGAUCUCAAUAGAGAAAUAGAAAAUGACACAAAAAAGGUACACAAAGGAAGAAAUACAAAUGACCAAUAACUAUAUGGAAAAGACCCAUCACACUGUGUGUGUGUAAAAUUAAUGAUGUUUUACUGUAUGUACAUGAAAACAAUAAGCUUGUCUAUUAGCAAAGACUUAAAUGUAAUUGCUGGUAUUCUUGUUGGCAUGGAGAGUGGUGAUUACAGUAAAAACUGGUACAAACUUUUUGAUGGAAAAUAUGUCUGUAUGACCUAGAAGAUUUAAAUAAUUGUGUAUUUUUCAAUAAAAAUAUUUAAAGCAUAAAAUUAGAAUUUUAGCAAUUAUUUCUGAUAGCAUUAUAGGUAAUUUUUCUUCAAGUGUAUUUUUAAAAAUUUGUAUAAUUUACCUGUGCUAUUUUGUAAUUUUAAAAAAGUAACAGCAACAGCAGCCAAUGUAUAAGGUAGCCAAUAUAUUAUUACUCCUAUUUUUACAGAAAAGGAAACUGAGACUUGGAGAAGUUCUUGCUAACAGGCAAAGUCAGGAUCCAAACACACAUAUUUGUAUUGCUUUAGAGUCCAAGUUCUUAAUUCCUAUGCCAUACUAUGUUCUUAAUUAAUGUUUUUUUAAAAAAGGUUUUGUGAAUCAAACCAUUCUGUUACUUCUGUGCCAACCAGCUGGAUCAGAAUGGUGGCCAACAUUUGUGAGUAUGUGUGGAAAAGCAGUAAGGAGCAAAUAAAAAGCCGAUUGGAGGAGGAAGGUCCUUAUAUUGUGAACAAUGGGUCUACGAAUUACCUCCAAUUAUAUUAAUGUCAGCAAAAGAAUGUUGGAAAUCUAUAAUCAGAGAGAAUACUAAGGCUUGAAAAGUAAUCUCACUAAGGACACAGCAAUUGGCUAAGCACUGGACCUGCUUACCUCCAAAAUUCAUAUACUUUGAAAUGAUUGUACUUAUAGAAAUUUCUUCUAAAGAAAUAAAUGUACAAACAAUUCAGGUACAAGAAUGUUCAUCACAGUGCUAUUUAUAAAAGUAAAAAAAAAAUAAAAUGUUCAAUCAUACACAAUCAUUAAAUCAGUUAUGCUCUGGCCAUUAAGAAUCCUGUUUUGGAUAAAUAUAUGACACUGGAAAAUGCUUAUGGUGUCAGUUUUGUUUUUUCAAUACAGGUUACAAAUUACCAUGUCUACUCCAAUUUCUUCAUCACAAAAAUGCAAACUUUCAUGGAUGUCUCUGAGUGGCUUUUUCUCCUCUCUUUAUUACAACUCUCCUGCAUUUUCACAUCCCCCAUAUUACCUUAAUAAUCAGAGAGAAAAACGAGAGACUGUAGAGCUUACAAACACAUGCAUGCAAAGGAAAUGGCAAUGUUUGCCUCAGUUAACAACGGUUCUCUAGGUUAUAGGCUUGGAAGUGAUUUUUAUUUUCUUCUCUCACCAACCUUUCUACUUUUUCUGUAAUAAGUAUAUGCUAUUACCACUUUUUUUUUUUUUUUUUUUUUACCCACAGGUCUCCUUCAGCAGAACCUCACAUUUAAUUCACUCCAUAUAAAAAUUUAAAAACCAGUAAAUAACACUAUUACUUCCUUGGUAUGCUGUAAUAAUACAUAUCAAUAUACAAGAAUCCAAAAUUACAAAAUAGGUAAGUUAUAGAGAAACUUUCUAUUACAAAAGAAUCUUCCCUUUAAAACAAUUUACCUCAGAAUUCCAAGUUGAAGUUCCCAAAGUAUAUUAAAAACUUCUCAAAUCAUUAAUUUGAAUCAGAUGUUCCAAAUCAAAGGAAUUAAAUACUCUUUUUCUGGGCCAAUUGAUAAAUCUGAAACUAUUUUGAAAUAGUAUUAAGUGACAGAAAAGCAAAAAUAUAUCUUUGCCUUGUCUUGAUAUUUUAGCAUGUACAUUUUUGGUCCAAGGCUGGAAUAUACAAUUAGAAAUAAAAGCCUUCUUCAUCAUAAAGCUUAGGAUAUAAAUUAUUCUGAGGAAUGAAUUCCCUAAUUACUUUUAGUUAAUUCCAGUGAAAUAAGCAAACAGCCUUGGAUAUUGAAAACUGUUCUAAAGUGUGGUAAUAAUCUUCUAAGAAUAGCAAACAUAACAGAGUUAACUGAGUAUCUGAUGCCUGAGUAUUUUGCUGUGCCUGACAAUCAUUAUUUAAACUAUUGAAAUUAUAAAGGGGCAUAUCUUGACCAGAAUCUGUAGAUCUUCUAGAAGUUCAUGUUUUAUAUUACAAAUAUGUUUUAUAAAUAAGUUUUAGAUAUGAGUUAUUUGCUCAAUUUUAAAUUAUUUGCCUUAGUUAAUAUGAAAGAAUUGAAUAGCAAACUAACUGAGGAUUUAGGGUAGCUGUACUCCAAUUUCUAGAGUUUCAGUAUAUGUUUUUAGAAGAAAAAGUAUUUUGCUUGUAAGUGCCUUUGUUACAGUACACGAUUAAAUAAUCAGCACAUACAACAAAUACUUAAUGUCAGCAACUAGAUUUUACAAGGAUGAUAGUAAAAGCAAUGCCUUUUCCUACAAUGCACGACAGUCAUUUUCCAAAUUCAUUACUCUGUGAUUCACUUUCCUUGCUUUGCUACUGCAGCUAUUUAGUACUAUUCUGCUUGCCUUAUAUGGUAUUUACUUUUAAUGCUUCAAAAGGCUCAGUACCCAAGAGAUCUUACAGAUUUAAGGGACAAAGAACAGCGUAAGUUAUUCAUACACAUAUGCACAAGAAUACACAAGAGUUUCAAACUACUGCACUGACAUUCUCAAUGCUCUAACUAUAAAUUAAAAAUGAAUUUCAAAAAAACAGACACGAUGUUCACAAAAAAUACACUUGGCUAACAAUGAUAAAGAGAAAGGACACAAAUACAGUUACAAAAAUGGGAAUACCCCAAAGAUUAUCAUGAUAUUUUACCCUAAUGAAGCAGGAGUUAAGAUGAAGUAAAUUUCCUGCUAUAGAUACAUAGAGAAAGCAUCAGGACCUCAGCAUGCAAAAAUACUCAAUUAACUGGCCUGCUCCGAUGAACAUAGCAGAAUCUUUUUUUACCACUCCCACAAUCUCUCCAAACUCCCCUCCCAAAGUCCAAUAAGCCAGUUUUCUUUUUUUCUUCUUCUUCUUUUUUUUUUUUUUUUUUGAGAUGCAGUCUU
rnacentral:lncRNA from 1 species